UUCAGAAAACAGUUUAUUAAAGGUCAAUCAGAUUUACAAAAAUAUAAAACAGAGAAUAGAAGAGCAGAGACUUUGAAUAAAUUAUGCAUACAAUAGGGAGUAAAUUACCUACCUGGGGUUCUCAGAGCAGUUUUUCUUUACUUCUGCACAGAGUCUAACCUAUUCUUUUAAGAAUACUAGGGAACGUCUCAGCAGUCAUAUUUUCUCAUGAUUUAGCAGCUAAAGCAAUACCCACAUUUCAAAAAGAAAGAGGGGUGGACUGAAGGGGCAACAGGUACUGAAUAUAAAAUAGAACCGUGAUAAGCUCUGCCUCUCUGUUCCAGCACUUUGAACUGUGUGUCUAGGCAUGCACACCACUGGGGGCCAGAGGAGGUCAUCAUGCAAAAGGACUGUCUUGGAGCCAGGAGUUGGAAAAACGCAAUUUUUAGUUUUCUAAAGGGUUUGACUACUAUUAUAUCUAUAAUCUUUCUAUGUUAUUGGAACUUUCCUUUUUUAAAACUAGGCAAAUUUUAUUAACAUUUUGGAAUGUUUUAUGGGUACUCACAGCCAGGUACUACAUAUAAAUAUCACACCCAAAUUAAGAGCACAGGCUCUAUAAGGAGCCUGUCUGGGUUAAAAUAUUGGUCCAGGAUCAUAGUUGUGCAAACUUGGGCAAGUUAAUUAACCUGUCUUCCUUAAUGACUUAGAAAAUGUGCUACUAAUAGCACCUAUUUUAUAGAAUAGCAAUGAGGAUUUAAAAAAUACAUAUAUGUAAAGAGCUUACAACAGUACCUGGCACGUAGAAGUGCUUAGUAAAUGUCUCUCUCACACACACUCACACACACGUGCAUGCACACAUGCGCAGGAUCUUUCAAAUAGAAUCUGUCACAUUCAGAUUAACAUGUUAGAGUGGAUUUUUGAUGAGGGAGUGGAAUUAGCCUCCAUUUUAUUAGAUUGAAUCCCUAAACUAGAAUUCUCUCUCUACUGUAUCAAUAAAAAUGAACUCCUUGAGGACAUGAACUGUGUGCUAGUCCAUCUGUGUGUUCCAGGGCCUGGCACAAUGUGUAUUACGUAGGUGUGUAAUAAAUGUGGAAUAAUUUAAUCCUAAUAAUUUAAAAAUUAUCUAAAAAACCACUAUGUGUGGACAUUAACAGAAACCUCUAAAAACGCAGUUUUGACUACAUAUAAUGCAAAUAUAACUUAAGAAAGGAUUUGAGCACAAAACAACAAAAAUUGGCAUUUUGUACACUUCAAUGCAAAUUCCAGCUUAACUGCUGAGAAGCAGAGGAAGACUCCAUAUUGGCUUAGCUGGUAAUUUCCAUGAACUCAGUUCUUUUCCUCUGACUGCAGUGGAGUUGACACGACAAAAGCAGGUUUUGGGAAUGCUAGAAAUGAAUUCCUACUUCCCCUUGCUUUCUUCAGAUUCAUUUUCCCCCAAAUUUCUGCACUGGUUGGCUUCCAUUUCAGCAUCAGUCACGAGAUCUUGAAGGUCAGACACAGUAAACAGGGAAGGACAUAAAAUUAAGUGAUAUGGGCGUGGUUUUGAGUCUCACAACUUUAAAAGGGAUGAGUCAUACUUUAAAGCAUGUGGAACGGAAUUACAUGGUCUGUUCCUUAAUGAAAUUCAGCUCUUAGUUAAGAUAAACGUAUUAGUUUGCUAUAGCCUAAAAUUUUGUUUCUUUAAUAAACGUUGGGUGAAAAAAAGAUGUAAUUCCCAUGAAGACCAAACACAAGUUGACCAGUUUAGUCUGAGUCUGCAUCCUCGAUUUGUUUUGCAGUAUAAAUGUGUAAAGGAAAAACAAUUCUAAAAAAUGAAAUAAAAAAUACAGUCAUGCACCACAUAAUGACAUUUUGGUUAAUGAUGGACCGCAUGUAUGAUGGUCCCAUAAGAUCAGUGCCAGACAGCUUCCACGUGCAGUAGGCUGCACCAUCUAGGUUUGUGCAGGUACACUACUCCCUGAUGUUCGCACAACGAUGAAAUCACCUAACCAUGCAUUUCUAAGAACCUAUCCCCAUCGUUAAGCGACACAUGACUGUACUGGGAAAUCGUUCCAAGUGAUUUUCUAAUUUGUCAAAUUUGAAAUGGGUAUUUUAUUUACAUACCACUUAAACUGGGGAAAAAAGUGAACUUUAUCUGAAUACCAUCAGUACAAACUUUAAAAGAUAAGGCUUAUUCCAUUCAAUUGCUUUGUCAGUUACCAUAGGAAAUUAGCAUUAAAAUUAACUUAGAGAGAGAAAAAAUAUUGAAUAAUUCACGUGGAAUUAACAACCAGGAAAUGUCUUUAUGCUUUGCAAAAUAAACUGAAAACCAAAACUUUCUACACUUCAAGUACUUAGCAAACAAAAUUCUUUUUAUUUGCUUCCUAUCAAUCAUUAAGUAAGUUUGCUAUACUCAUACACUGACACUUCAAUUCCCUUUGACACCCAAAAGUGACAGAACUAGGUCUGGAAAUGAGAAGAGCUAGAUUAGGGGCACUCUGAGGCUGACAAAACUUGCUUUUUAGGGGAAUGGAAGAGAAAGCCAUCGAUACGCCAUCAGUGUUUGAGCAUUCUGACCAUACAUCAGGCAGUUAUCCUUGCUGAAUGGUUCUGGAUUCCAAAUGACAUAUUCUUCCUCAACGUGCUCAUUCCAUCACUGGCUCAGCAGUCCGCACUGGAGACCAUUUAAAAACGUGCAGUUUGCAAUAACCAUUAUCUAUCUUAACAGCUAGAAAGGCAAAACAAAAGUUAGCAUAUAAAACUACCUUUAGGGACUACGGCAGAACACUAAUUCAUGAAUGAUAAACAUAAUGACUAGAAGCAAUUUUUUUCUAAGUAACAGACACAUCUGGUCCUGAGGAGUUUGUUUUUAAGAAGAAGGAAAAAAAAAAACCCUUCAAAAUGUCUGUUAUUCCAAGAAUGGUCAAAGUACCCUCUUUCCUCUCCAUAACUUGUCCUUUUUGAUUGGCAUUCCAGAAGUGUAAGGAAUAUAAAAUAUCGUGGUUAGGUGUUCACUAAACAGGAGGAGAGCCUCUGAAUUUACUUAUACUGCCCAAUUAAAUAAUAAACAUUGGACUUGAUAUGCCUUCCAUCCGAGAAAAACCCAUGAAUGAAAAUCAGACAUAGCAACAAUUGCUCCUGAUGCCAGAUUCUAAUAGCAAAGGGCAAGAGGGACUCAUGUUACCUACUCUUCACUUUAUAAAGAAAAACAAAGCAAAAUUCAGUUUAAGAAAAGAAAAAGAAUCACCAUUUAGGAUGACCUGAGAAAAAAACUGAGAAAUUAGGCAAAACGGAGUUUGAGAACAAGCCGUGUGAAUGUGUCAGUGCUUCUUAGAUUGCAGUCAAAAAGAAACAUUCAAAGGGAAGACAAAAUGUACAUGUAAGUUUCUUUUCAAAGCAAGACACUACUCCAAGCUACUCAGUGUGGCAAAGCACCUGUGUUAAAUUGGCAUCUGGAAAUAGCGCAAAAAUAAAAAGUCCUGGUUGUUGAAGGGCUGAGAUGCACACUGGAUUAGAUUUGCUAAACCAAGACCUAGAAGUUGGCAACAACAGACUUCUGCUCUUCAAUAUCCAGGUUUAUAUUUUGAAACUGAUCAUUCUUCAGUCUUGCAAUAUGAAUUUCAUGGUAAAUCUUACCUUUAAGGUCAGUGGUAAUGUCUAUACUACUAACCACGUCUACCGUCGGUAUUUCAAAUGCUCUGAUAUACUUAAUCGCAGCUUCACUGACAUCUCAAUUGUCCCUAUAGACCCAAAAGAGGAGGGGGGAAGCUGAGAAACCAUUAUGCCUGUUCCAUUAUACCAGAUGAAGAGAAUAAGCCUCAUGAUCUAGAGAAGCAUUUAUUUUUGCUUCUCUUCAUGCUGGGUUUAUAAGAACUUGACCACUGAACAUGAAAAAAAAGUGGAAGUUCUAGCACCAAGUUUUCACAGGUAUUUUCAUCAUUCAUUUGAAGUAAAUUCCAAGGAUAUUCAGCCAUCCCACAUAUAAAGGUGCAUUUAAUCUCUCAUUUCAAAGUUAAACUACUUUGAAUUAUUCAUAUCUGUGUUCUUCUCUAAGGAUGUAAAUAAUCAAGAACCACAAGUUAUGCCCUCAUGAUGAUAACUGUAUUUCUCCGGCCUACAACAAAUCCAGCUACAUUUUUAAGUGUUUGUAUGGUUCUUUAAAAUAUUCAUUUCAAACAUAUAAAGUGAGUAACGUUAUUGUUUUAUUUAAACCAAAUAUUCAGUGUCUCCUCACUAAGGUGGAUUCAACAGCCCAUCUUUCCAAAAAUAUAUAUGCUUGAUUCAUACAUAUUUUGAGUACAGCUGCUGGCUUUGUCCCAAUACUUCCACUCAGUUCUCUUGACUUGGUUCUCAAUUCAGGGACAAAGCCAAGGGCAAAACUGAACUUGUAGGCUAGGCCUUGUUCACACUGAGGCAAAAUGGCUACCAACUUGAAAGAGGCAAUCUUUCCCAAUUUGGGGAUGCUCUGGACAUAAUAGUAAACAAACCGUGAAAUGUAAACUGGGCCCAAAAUAUGGAGAUUUGUGCAGCUUCAUCUCAUGAAAACGCAUUUAAAAAGAUUAUAAUGAAGCGUUAAGAUGAUUUUAGUUGUGAAAUGUUAACUAUAUCAGGAGAAUAAGGAGCCAGAGGAAAAAAACCUUGAGCAUAAUUGCAAUUUUUUUACACAUACUUUCCUGAAAACCUAAAGCCAUCAAAAUGCCCUUAUUCUAUCCACUGGAUGAUGACGGUGAAGAUGACCAGCCUCAGUAUUCCUUUGGAGAUGCUGUUGCUCUUGGGCUGAACGCCAUCACAGCCAUUUCUGCUACCUGGACACACAGCACCUGCUGUAAAUUUGUGCCUUCAGGCUGGCUUCCCAUUCUUCCCCAACUGCAUGCUUUAAGGAAUGAAACACUCAUUUCAUGUUAGUUGUGAGUAAACCACAUAGGAAGCAAAUCAGACUACAAAUUAUGUAAUAUUUAUUUAUAUCAUCUAGCUCUCUAAUGUCGACUUCCCUACAACCUUUUUUUUUUUUUUUAAUUUGAGAAAAAUUUUUUCUCUGCAUCACUCUCUCCUCCCAACAUUUGUGGGCUUUUUUUUCUUUCAUUCUCUUGAAAGACACUGAGCUAAGCUCCUGGGGAUUUCUGGAAAAAAAUCAGUGUUGAAACUAGAGGCAUAUCUGUAGUCAAAGUAAAUAUUACUUUUAACAUAAAUUAUCACCUAAAGGGUCAAGGAACAGCAAACAGUUUAUCUGAUCAGCAUCCUCUUCUUCUUGCCCUUGGUUCCAAGAGUGAACCUUAGAAAUCUUGGUCACUGGCAGACCGUAGGGACAAAGGGAGUGGAGGUUACUUGUGAAAAGGAUGACUUCACCUUCCCCUGAGACAGAGAUGUGGGAGCAGUGACUGGAGCUAACGCAGUUUCAUGAGCCAAAGGCUAUAGACUUCUAACCCAAAUUUCAAAGAAAAAGAAAUCCUCCAAGUAUCACUAUCUCUUAAUCAUUCGUAAAUCAGUUAUUGUGCUCUUUCAUGAAAAUAUUGACAUAUUAGGUACUCUAACACCAUCAUACACAGCUCCAUUAAUCAUUCAUUUUCCAAUCUAAAUUGAACUUUCACGUAACUUUUUAAAAAAUGCUAAUGCAAAGAAGGAAAGUUAGAAAAUUCGGAUUUGAAUGAACUUUGCCAGUGACCGUUAUGUAACUUAAAGUGUCAAUUCUAAAAAUAAAUGGAAAUAUUUUCAAAUGUCAACACCCACACUUGUAUAAUUUACAGUCUCUCUUUGCUUUAUGAAAUAAAUCAAUGCCUGAAAAUCCGAAGUAAACAUAAAAUUUUUACGUACCAGAUGAAUUUCCUACUGCCAACAAACUAAUUUCAAAGGCUCCCUACAAUCUUUAGUUCUGAUUGCUCUCAACCAGCACCUUCUCCGUCCCUCCACUAGCUUUUUUAAAAUUUUUAAGUAAAUUCUUCAAUGGAUUAAUGGUUCUACCUGACACCUCGGGUAAAAUUCCCAAUUUGAUCUCGCUAAAUUAUGUUACUAUAAAUGAGAUGCCAAAAGUGGAAUUUGGGGGAUGUAUUCUUGUUCUCAGUCUUUCCUAGACUGCCACCAGAGCUUUGUUCUUAAAGAUUUGAUUAUCAAAACAAAGUAGCAAAAGAGAAUAUGUAUUAUGCAUAUGCAGAAACUCAUUUUCUCACUGACUUUGCAGAAGAACCUAGUCCUUUUCAAUCAUUCACUACAAAGUUCUAUUGCAAGUAAACGGAGUUUAACUUCAAGUAACUCCAACUAAAAAAAUACUGCAGAUAGCUAAUUUUCAAAGAACACUUUAACUGGAAAAUUAACCUGUUAACAUUUUCGGUGUCACUAAACUAACUUUAAAAUGUAAAAAUGUGUGGCAUAUCUUGUUUAUAUAAUAAAAGAUAUUUUACUUAGGUAUUUUUGUGUGUGUAAGGAAGAUUAGCCCUGAGCUAACAUCUGAGGCCAAUCUUCCUCUUUUUGCUUGAGGAAGACUCUCCCUGAGCUGACAUUUGUGCCAAUCUUCCUCUAUUUUAUGUGGGAUGCUGCCACAGCAUGGCUUGAUGAGUGGUGCUAGAUCCAUGGCUGGGAUCCAAACCCAUGAACCCUGGGCCGGAGAAGCAGAGAGGGUGAAUUUAACCACCACACCAUUGGGCUGGCCCCCAAAGGAUACUUUAAAACAACUGUAUGAAGGAGAUAAAGAAAUACGUCACUUUCAAGGUUUUUUGAUCUUUUACAGCUUCUAGUCAUAGAAAAGAACUUAAAAGGCCAUGCAGGGUUGACCUUGGCACACCAGUCUCAGAUAUGAGAGAGACAUGAUAUGGGGUUUAAAUCCAAUGAGGGUUCUGGGAAAAUAAGAAAGCAUUUGGGACAAAGCAGCAGUAAGGCCUGACUUCUGAUAUAUCUAAAAUGCGUUUUAGAUAAAUAUUUGUUAUUCACUUUACAAUUGAGUAAUUCAAGUCUUCUGCACAAAAUUUCACACAAAGAGGAAAUACUUUAAGGUCUUAAAUAUUUCCUAAUGUAACAUGAGACUACCUUUUUUAACCUUAAAGAUUAAGAGAAUUGAUGCUAUGUUUAUAGAAAUAAGAGAAUAUAAAAACAUCCAUAGUUGUUUCAGCAAAAUCAAUACCACUUAAACUGUUUCAUAAAUAAUUUUCAGAUUGAACAUGGCAAGUAUGCAACUAAAUAAGGAAAAAGAUUUCAUAACCCUAAGGUUAGAAAAUGUUCCAUAUUAUACUUUUUACCUAUGUCCUUCGUCAAGUCUGAGUGCUCCAAUACAUGCUAGUGAAAAAAAAGAUCAAAAUUAGCAUUAGCACAAGGAUUUUCAGUUAAUACUGCAAAUAGAACCAUCAGGAAAAAAAAGACCAGAAUAAACAAAACUCAAAUAUGUGACUAUAGGAGAAAUCCUUGAGACAUAAAAAUCAAACUGUAUUACUUACCAAAUCUCUCUACCAUCUCCCGAUAAAUAUCCAGGAAAAAAUGCGGGAGAUCUAAAACGCAUUAUAUGUGGGGAGAGAGAACACUUUAAUAGCCCUCCCCCUAAAUAACAUAACUCAAAACGAAAGAUUUUAAGACAAAACAUAGGUCAAUGAAGUACAAUUAUUUUGAAGUUUUCUAUAAAAUUUUUAAACUUAUGAAUAAGUCUCUCGAGUUUUCUGCUCCUAAGGAUGCUGAAAUCCUUUGAAAAGCAAUAAAAGCAAAAUCAAAACUUAAAUAUAGGGGGAAAAUCCAAGACAGAACAUGGAGUAAAGAGAAGCUGAGGGGAAGAGAUGGAGAGAGAAAACACCAAAAAACAAAACAAAGACUCCUUCUCUACUAUACCCUGGGGCUCUAUUUUUGAACACACCAGUUAUUUAGUAUUUGAAUCAUGGCUCAACUACAAAACAUUCCUGCAUCUCGGUGUCCUCAUCUGUCAACUGAAGAUUCAGGGACACCUGAAAAGCACUUUCCACAGUCCUUGACACACAGUAACUACUUUACAAAUGCUAGCUAUCAGCAUUAAACACAGAGCACAUAUUCACUUACGUAUUUCUCAGCUAUUAUUUUAAUUUUUCAAGGGCAAAAGCAGGGAUCUCCCUUACGGGCUCCCUGAAUACAGGCUGGAAUCUGAGCCCAGAUUUUGACAAUGUAUCUAAUGACACUUAACUUUCAGAAUAGCUUCAGUUAAAUUCCUUAAAAUGCUGUCUUUACAUAGAAGUAGCUCACUCAAAUCUAAGGCAGCAUUCCCUUCCUACCUGGCGUCAAUUAUUACUGUUGAUAUUAGGAGGAGACGGAAGGCAGUACGCCCUUAUGUAUACAUGUCUACAUCCUAAAUGAUGGUGAUUUGAAUGAUCAAAUUUACUGUGGGGACAAUUAAAGCCAACAGGCUAUACUUAUAGGUAGAAAACUAACAACUUCUUUUAUUCCUUUCCUCUAAAAAACUAAAGCUUUUGUAUAUAUAAAAAAGCAAACAUUUGUCAACCAUAAACUGUGGAAAAGAAAAUAUUCUACGAUGCUAAGGGCAGGGCAAUAGAAGCAUACAACAGCAACUUAAAUUUUAUAAAUUAAUUAACCCUUAUAUUCUAGAAUAAACUUUUUGCUUUUUUUAGCUUGUAAUUCAACACUCUCCACAAUAAGCCUGACCUAAGAAAAUGCUUUGUCUCUAGUUCUAGAGAGCUAAAUACAUAUUUUUGGAGAAAGAUAAAAAUGAAAAACUACUGGAAAAGUAAGUGGUUAGUUCUUGUACUUGCUUUGUCAUAAAUUAGCUGUACAACCCUGGCUAUGUCAUUCAACCUCUUUGGGCCUCAGUUUCCCCACUGCUAAAAUAGGAUGGAUCCAACUACCCAACUCAUGGGUUACUGUGAAUAUUAAAGAUAAUGUGAAGCAUUUAGCUGGCACACAGUAGCAACUCAAUGAAUGGGAGCUAUUCCUUGACUGUGAGAGGGGUUGGACUAGGUACUAAGUCCAAGGUCAAAAUAUCAAGCAGCCUUCUGUUGUACUUUAAUUUCCCCAAAGAGAGACAGCUAGCACAUAGAGGCAAGUCUAACAGACUUUGUCUAAGGGAGUUUAUUACACCAUGAUUAAAGCAAAGAGCUCUUUAAACAAUUUCACCCACUGUAUGCAUGAACACAGCAAUAUGGACAUACACUGCAAAAAUAUUACAGUACCUUUGCUUUCAGAAAACACAAGAGCAUGUGAAAAUCUAUGUAUCCACCUGUGUAAUUUUUAGGCCAGGACUGGCCAACAGGACUACUUUUUAAUACUGUUUGGUCUGUGUACUUUCAAGAAGCAGAAUUCCGAUGACCGUGAAGCAAGAGAUUGCUCUGUAAUAGUUAACAGCAGAAAGUCUUCUGAAGUUCCCUUUGAGUCAUUAGGUUCAGCCUCAAAACCUGACUGCAAACUCUCAGAUCCAAAUGACUAAUUCUAACCCUUCUGCAUUCUUACAGAUAUUGUUAUCCACAGUAUCUAGAUAUUAAGGUUUAUUACAGAUUUGUUGUCAAACUGCCACUAAAGUGAUUUCAAGGGCUCCUUGAAGUGGGCCACUCGUUGGAGUCUAGCAAUAAUUUUGUAUAUAGCAAUUCUGAUAGCUCAACUAUAUAUUCCUGUUAUUUCAUGAAUGAUGUUGUCACAUUCCAAUCCACGUCUCUUAGGAAAAUGGAAUAAUCUCCAAAUUGCUAGGAAGUAACAGGUUAAAGCAAGAUGGAUAAAAACAGUGUAACUUGCCUAAGGCUAAAUAGUAAAUGUUUAAGCACAAUCAGUUAGAUUGGGAAAGCACUAAUAGGUUUGAAAGGAAAGAUAAGACAGGAAGUAUACAAAAAGUCUCAAAAGAGAAGAAUACGAAAGGUCUCAAAUUUCAAGAAUUUAGAUUUGACACCAUGAUGUAAUGGGAAUGUUGGUGUUUGUGUGAUGAUUAUUAUGGCAAUUCUGUAGGACAAAUAAGGGAAGUAAGAGAGAUUAGUCAGGAAAAUUGGGACGAUGUGCAAUAAUCCAGGACCUGACUUGUCAGGCACACAGCAAUACUUCCUGACCUCUAAGUCUUGGAUUGGGACUAAGCAGACUAAUGUAAAUUUUCUCCCUAAAUAGAACAUUACCUCCUUAAUGGGAGAAGACUAUCUUAUAUCUACUGAUAUAUUUUCAGUACCUAGAACAUUAUCUAGCAUAAAGGUUGCUCUCUAAAAUUAUUGUCUAAAUCUGAACGUAAAUGCUGUUGUAAUUAAUGAAAUCUAAUUCAUUUUAAAAGUAUCACUGAAUGUCUAGAAUCCUUCAAGGCAAAUUUUCUAGUCAACUUAAAUACUCAAGUACAGCUGUUAGUUCUCAUGGCUGGUCUUUUUUUCUGACACUGGUUCCCAGUCAUUCUGUAAGAUUAAGAAUCGCCACUGUAGGGUAGUAGGUUAAUGACUAGAAAAAUUAAGGAAAAGACAUCAUAGAAGAAUCAGCAUGACUUGAUUAACAGAAAAUCCAACAGAACUAUUAGGAUUGCAACCUGUAGGAGCAAGAGAUGCUCCCCAAACAUGUAAUUCUUCAAGGCUUUAUCUGUAAGGUUUUGUUCCCUUUACCAGAUGUUCCCUCUCUACCCCCAGUGCCAGGAGCACACGUACUCACUAAACAUUUGUUAAGUGAACCCAUGCUGCUGACCUUUCUUCAACAUUAUCAAGUUUCAGGUGAUCGGAGGCACAGAGGAGAUUACAGAGUGAAAGACUGGAGUCAGAGAUAUGAUUUGGGAGGAUAUAAAAUCCAGUAGCCCUAACAGCAGCUGAAGUUCCUAUAGAGGGACAAAAGACACAGGAAGGAGGCACUACAGGGGACAAGAAAACGCACAGAAUUGUGGAUCAAACAGAGCCAGGAAAGCUAUGAGUUUUGAAUGUUUACUCAAUUGUAACAAAAAUAACAAAAAGAUCCACGAUAAUGAUCAGGAAAAAAAGGCAACCCAAACGGCCUGAGAUCAUUGCUGCCAUUGCACUGUUGCUUUGACUGAAGAGCAAUUAAAAUGAUCUGUAAAGAAUCUCCUAGGCAGAACACAGUAGAUGGAACCCCAAAGCAACUGAGGGCACACGGGUUUGUCAAAUAUCUAUCUGGAAUUCUGAAGCUGGUUUUGCAGCUGAGUAUAAGCAGAGCCAGACUGACUUUGAUUAAUACCCUCCCACUUCAGAGACUGCUCAACUAUUUAGUGUGUGACUGCAAGUGUGUGUGUGUAGGCUGUUACUAUCAGAGAACAGAGUUUUCCAAAGGUAACAGGAAAUUUGAUGCCAUUCAAAUUUGCUUAUACAUAUUAAAGGCUUCUUUCGCCAGGAAUCAAGAUGACUGGAAAACUAUCCGGAAAUAAGUUCUGGUUCUGCUUCAUCUUUAUUCUAUGACCCUACCCUAGGUAAACCAUGUGAGUUAUAAAGUGAAAUGGAAACAAUCAUGCCCCACUUUCAAAGCACACACAAAAAGAAAGAUAACAACUGGGAACAAUCAGAAAGGUAUAUAUUAAAAAAAAAAAAAGCUAACACUACACAAAGCCAUGGUUAUGUAUGCACCCAGCAUACUUCAUGACCUUCCAGUAGCCACUUCAAAGACAUAAAAGGAAACCAGGGAAAGUACAGCACAGGGCAACUAAGAAGAGUUUACAGAAAUAAAGUGGCUUUUACCUUCAAAGAGUAAGAACUCCAAUCUGGAAAGGAAGUUAAGACGAUAAAGUUGAAUCCCACGUAAAAUCACAAUGGUUGCAGACAAAAUACCACAGCCUGGCUCCAUUUUAUUAAAAGUAAUUUAAAACAAAUCCUGAAACACUCUAAUUCGAUGUUUUAAAAUUGGUAAAAGGGGGACUGACCCCGUGGCCGAGUGGUUAAGUUCACGCGCUCCGAUGCAGGUGGCCCAGUGUUUCGUUGGUUUGAAUCCUGGGUGCGGACAUGGCACUGCUCAGCAAACCACGCUGAGGCAGUGUCCCACAUGCCACAACUAGAAGGACCCACAGCAAAGAAUAUACAACUAUGUACCGGGGGGCUUUGGGGAGAAAAAGGAAAACAAUAAAAUCUUUAGGAAAAAAAAACUGGUAAAAGGAAAUCUCAAAUCACAAGAUGUUUAGUAAACUUGUGACAAAAGUCACAAGGGCAAAAAAAAAGAGUAGUUUGAAAAACCGUAAAUAGGUGUAAGAACACUGUUCGAUUAAUGGAGGCUGCAACGAGAGCACAUUUACCCACAAACAGGAAGUUCCUGAGGUAUUCAGAGGCUAUCAUUAACCUUGCUAUCACAACACAAAAUUCUUAUGCUCCUAUUUCUAUAAAACUAGUCCUUGGCCCCACUUACAGUUCUGAGCUGAGGAGCUAGUCUAACCAACCAGUUAGUAGUAUCUCAGUUAUUUCAUAUUUCAAAGAAGCCUAAUGACAUUUACCUGAUAAGACUGCACAGAGCAAGUAAAAUCCAGGAGGCAGUACAGAGCGGGGGUUAAACGCGAGCUCUGGCAUCAGACCCACCUGGGUUCAAUACCAGAUUGGCCACUUCUAGUUAUGAGGCCUGGACCAAAAUAGCUGUGGUUUCCACAUUUAUACUUUACAGGGUUAGUAAGCUUAAACAACUUAUGACAAUGUCAACUCAUUCGAAAUAUUCAGUAUUAGCUCUUUUGUCAAACUUAUUUUUGACUGAAAUUAUAACCAGUUCAACGUGUUAACCUCAGUUCUUUCCUCCUGACUCAAAGUUUCAGCUGGUAGUUAUAGGCCUUAGAACUUUUCUAAAAAGAAAAUGUUCACAGGUGAAAAAUAAAGAGAUCGACAGCUUAAAAGGUUGGAAAGCCACUGGGUUAAACCAUGUAUUCUUAUGAGACAUGUAGUCCUGAGUUUUUCCCCCAAAUGAGCUAUUAUUAUCUAUCUUUUCUUUCUAAAUCACCUCAGCAGUCACUCCUGUCAAAUGUCUUAAUGUCCUAUACUGCUAACAAAAAAAUACAGAAUCAAGACACUAGAUUAACCAGUUUCAUAACACAUAAGGGAGUAUGAAACCAACCUGACCUCAUAAGGAACCUUAUGCAUUACAAGGAACGGAGAAAAAAGUUAUUUUUAGUAAACCUACUCCAUUUGAGUGAAGUACCAUCUGUAUGUCUGUUUUGUCUUCAGGGAGGAAAGAAAUGUUUCAAAGAACUGCUCACGAAUCCAACAUUGACCAGGGAUUUCUCACUUAAAGGGUUAAAGUUUUCAGUAAUGGAAAAAUAGAUAAAAAUAUAAGAACAUGUACCCUUACAUUUGUUUUCAGAUUUAUACACACUCACUCACUCAAAUCUUUUUUUUUUUUUUUAACACUGGCACCUCAGCUAACAACUGCUGCCCAUCUUUUUUUUUUCCUGCUUUUUCUCCCCCAAAUCACCCCAGUACAUAGUUGUGUAUUUUAGUUGAGUCCUUCUAGUUGUGGAAUGUGGCACGCUGCCCAGCAUGGCCCAAAGAGUGGUGCCAUGUCCGUGCCUGGGAUCCGAACUGGCAAAACCCUGGGCCACAGAAGCGAAGCGUGCUAACCACUUGGCAACAAGGCCGCCCCUCACUCACUCACUAUAUUUUUGUCUUCUUUAAUUAAAAUUUGAACUGUAUAGAUGAAAAAUACUAAAAUCAAGUUAUCUUUAUCAUAUCCAGUGGACUCUAAACUUAAUUUUAGUUAGCUAAAAAAAUAAAUUAAAAAAUAUUUAAAAAUCGUGAUAUAUGUAUUUCACAAACUUUUCUGCUCUCCAAGGGUAAUCAAAAUCUGACACAUUAUCCAUGUAUUCCAAUUAUAAGCUGAAUAUCUUAUUAGGAGCACAGAACACCUUUUGAACUUACAAUGGUGUUUCCGGAAGACUUGCGAUGAUUACCACUACUGUUUAUACAUCUACCAUUGCCUCCUGGAAUCUUCUCUAAAUUCUUUGAGGAUAAUGAUCAUGACUUAUUUUGUCUUCCCAACUCCAACAGAAAACACUCAAUGGUGUGAAAUGAAUGGAUGACAUAUUAUCAGUGUUAGGUACAGACUAAAUCUUUUCAAUAAAUAACUGACUUUCGGCUAAUUAUCUAGAUUUGGUUAAUGAUGUACAAGAUCAAUCCAUUUAAUGAUAUCCCUUCUUAGGCAUUUACAGUUUGAUUGAGAUGUUACCAUACUUUCUGAGAAGAAAAAAAGUUUAAUUACCUUUAUAAUACUUCUCAAGGACAAAUCCAAAAUGUUAAUUUUUAGUAAUUCCUACUAUCAUACUGGAAGCUCACACUGCGGAGAAAUAAACUAGCAACUGUCAUAUAUUUUUCUCAAUCCUCUUUUUAAGGUGAAAAACAUGUUACGUUAACAAAAACAAAAUUAAAGAUAAGAAUUUUCAACACAAGACAUGAUGAAUCAUCAAUUUGGGUUUGCUAUCUUACUAAAAUUAUUUAAACAUUUAUUGAUAAGCAGGAUCACAUAAAUUACACACUGAGCAUUCACAUAAGUGUUCAGCUGCUGGAGUAGUUACUCAAACUUAUUUCUUCAAGGCUAUUAUGUUACACAUCUAAAGACACUUAAAUAUUCUGCCCGACAGAAUCUUUGGGUAAAUUUUAAGAAGCACUUAUCAUUACUGUGACCCAUUUUCCAGAUUAAAAUAUAAAGCAACACUAAAACUGCUACACAAAUGUCAUUUUUAAGAGAGGAAUCAUAGUGACUUUUCAGAAAAUAUUGAUCAGAUGUGUUAAUAAUAUAAUAUUUCACAUCAUUAAUAAUCUCCCUCUGGCAGACAUUUAGUUUACACUAAAUGAAACUAACCUUGGAAAAAUUUUCUUCAAGACAGCUAGUUUUCUUGGAGCCAGAUCAACUGAUCAGUUAUAAACUCAAAGAAAUUACUUGAGAACUUAGGCAUGGUGAAUUAAUAGGCCUUUAGCUCUUCCCUAAUAGAACAUCACUACUGUCCUGGUGACCUUAAAUUCAGGACCGGUGAGUACUGAGAAUCCCCGAUUCUACUCUGAAAAGCAACGGACCAAAUUACACAGAAUUCUAGAAGCAAAGUGUUACAAUCCUUAAGAAUUAACAGGCUUUUAACAAAAAUGUUGGUAUCUGUUGAUCUAUAUAUUGUUUUCCAAAUGGCUCAGAUUUUCAUGAAACACAACAGCAGAAAAUACCCUGAAUAAUCUAAAACCAUUAUUAUUUUACUUUUAAAAAAACGGUUUAAAACCACCUUUCUUUCUGUUUCAGGGAAGACAACAUUUUCUGUAAGAGUGCAUAAGGAAAGUAGGUUCUCCACACCACCAAUCUUAGGGCUAAGCAUACUGGCUUCUCUAUGUGUAAUUCUGUCUCUCGCACACACACACAUUCAGGUCUGAAAAGUGAAGCCCUUUAACAAACUCUUCCACUAUGUCCUUCAAAAAGUAGAAGGGCUGAAAUCCAAUACUGGAUGAUGGGAAUGGUUUAAUAAACCAACACUUAAAAAAUUUUUAAGCACCAGAUAGAACUCAGGUAUGAAGAUAAAUAUGGAUUUUGUGAAUAAAAUAUGUAGGAGUGAAAUUUUUAAUUUUUAAGUCACUUGGAAAGUGGCACCUCUUUCCAAAUUAAGUACAAGCUCGCCUACGUAAAUAAUGGCUUUCUCAGAGACCAAAAUCCAAUGAUGUUUUGGCCUAAAUUUUUAGAAACGAAAUGAUGGGAGAAAAACAAAACAAAUGACAACUGAACUGUCAACAUCACACACACAAAACACCCUAGCAAUCCAAAUUAAUCUGGGACGAAAUUAUAUUACUUUAAAUUCAAAUUGGUUGGCUUUAUUUCAGCCAUAACAGAGAGCUUUAAAGUAAACAUAAAACAUUUCAUUCUAACCUCACAUUAGGCUAAUUUCUAAUCUAGUACUUAACAGUGUAUAUUUGGAGUCAGGCGGAGUCAGGCAGAACAGUGUCUGAACCCCGGCUCUGCCACUUUUACAGAUAGGUGACCACUAACUACAUAUAACAAAUUACUUAAUCUCAAUCUCUGAGUUCCUCAUACGUAAAGUAGGGACAAUACUAUCUACCUUACAGGAUUAUUAACAUGAUACACAGAAUGUAAAGCAAUUCCUGAACACAGUGCCUGGUACAUAGUAGUCACACAACAGUUAGUAUGUAUUAUUAACCCACAAUGAAAAAAAAGCUUGGCGUAAGAAAAACAGCAGAGUAUUUGUUUUUCAUACUUCGUCUAUGUUUUUAUUUUUCAAAAUAAAGUUUUAGAGUUGACAAUCAGAUUAUUUCAUCACAGUUAUCAGGAAUUAUCUUUUAGCCCCUCUUUAUAUAAUGGAGAUACCUGCCAUUUCUAUUCUUCAAGAGCAUUUUCCAUCUGUUGAUCUUAAUCUGUAUAAAUUAUUUUUUAAAAGUCACUUUUAAUGAUUUUUUUCUUUAAUCUGAUGCAGAUUUUCACCAUCUAAGAUCUACUUUGAACUAACUGGUGAAUGUUAUAACCUUUUUUCAAAGUUAGAAGUUUCAAAUAAAUAAAACCACAUGGGUAUUUUUAGUAACCGAUUAACCUCCCCUUUCUGAGCUUUCAGAAGUUAUUUUUAUUCUAUCUUCUAUGACUCUUGUUGUAACCUGUUUUCUGUACUAAUUCCUAAAUACACAUGCCAGGACAUUUCCUCAAGUGACCUGAUCUUUUUUGCUUUUUUCUUCCAACUGUUAUCUUCCCUCAAUUCCCUAAAACUAUUAAAGCCUCUUUUUCUAAAUUCAUUUUAUUUUCUUGUCGACUAUGCUCCUAACCUUUCUUUGGGAGCCUAAGCAUAUUAACAUUUGCGGUGGCCUUUACCAAAGUUUUUUAUCUCCAAUUAGAUCCAACUAGAUCCUGCAAAUCAUUGCAAACAUUUGUUAUCUUUUCCACUAAGGUCUACUCUGAAAUUCCCGCCAAAGAUGAGAUAAACAAUCUAUGACCUUGCUACUGCAAGUGUAUUCAGGGACACUGGCAUCACCUAAGAGCUUGCUAGAAAUGCAGAUUCUUUUUUGGGGGGAGGGUGGUGGUGAGGAGGAAGAUUGGCCCUGAGUUAACAUGUGUGCCAAUCUUCCUCUAUUUUGCAUGUGGGACACUGCCACAGCGAGGCUUGAUGAUCAGUGUGUAGGUCCAUACCCAGGAUCUGAUCCUGCGUGCAUAAACUUAACCACUAGGACACUGGGCUGGCCCCCUACAGAUUCCUGCACCUCAUCUCAAAUCUACUGAAUCAGAAUCUGUAUUUUAACGAAAUUACCAGGGAUUCCCAUCCACAUUAAAGUUUGACAAAAACUGCUGAGUGGUGAACUGUGACCUAAACAGUGUAAACUAGACAAUUAAAACAAUCACCAGAAGUUCUUUCGAAAUUAUUUUGAUAAAUGCAACAAAUGGUCUCAUCUUUUUUCCCCACAUUUUGGAAAGUCAAACAGAAAUAACAUUACAACUAACAAACAUACCUACAUUACUCUUCAUGAUUUAGAAAGAAGUUUCAAUAAGAAUAUAUAUUGUUGGUUGUAUUUUAAACAGAUUAAAUUGUUUUCCACACCAAUUCAACAUAGCUUACAUUUAAAUAUGAUUAUCUGCUAAGGUUCUACUUCUCAAAAGGAAGCACGGAAAGUUUCAAUAUGACAAGCCAAUGCUAAACAUGUACCAUCUAACCAAAAAUAUUUAGUUAUACAACAAUUUGCAAGAGGUAUACCCAAGACCUUCUGACCAAACUAAUUUGAACAACAGAAAAAUAUCUAAACACCAUUAUAAUCAAUAGGUUCGAAUGAAACCAGAAUUUGUUUUGAUAAUAUUUUGAUCAAUAUAAGAUACAAAAUUUCCAAAAGUGAUUUAGCUGAUAAAAACAGUGAUGGCCUUCUAAAAUACAUUAAUCCCUGCUUAACCUACUUAAAAACCUAGGGAACUGACACCUGCAGAUUUAAAGGAUUCCUGGUUGAAGUACGAGAUUAAUCCUCCAAGAACACCUGUAUAGGGAUGUUUCUGUCUCCUAAUCUAUUCAAAAAGUGCUUGAUAUGAGAUCUUCGAUAAUGUAGUAUUUCCUUAUUUAAGGAAACAUUUUCUCCUUUACAUUUUUGAAGACUGAGGUUGAGCCCCUUUGUUGGUCAGUUACCAUAUUGACAAUACUGAUCCUCAUCUUUACCCCUGUGGAAAAGAAUUUUAAAGUGAUCAAAUCUCAUUAUUUUAAAAGGCAUGACUAAACUGCACAAUUUUAUGACUAAAAUUUAACCUUCUGCCCUGUUAAUAAAUGGAGUUAGGCCUAAAAAUCACCCUCUGGGAAUUAUAAGUCAGUAAUUGAAUUAAACACUACUCAUUAGAUUUUUGAGGAAAUGUCUAUACACAGUCAUGAUUUCAGUCAAAAGUUUCCAGUCAAAAUAAAUAGAAAUAUGAUUUUUUUCAUAGCCAUAGGCAGAAGAUAUUCCCCUAUGUGAAUAUAAUACUCUCCACAGGAAAACAGCUAAUAAAAUUUUGUCAUUUCUAAAAAUAAACUAAAUAAAUUUAGAGCUUUAGGUAGAGCCAAAAGACACUAAUAGAGCCUAACCUUAAAAUGAUCAAAAACCUUUAUUUUUGGAAAAAACAUACUAUGAAUUGGUUCACUGCCCCACCCCCAUCCUGUCCCACUCUACCCCCAGGCUCUGUUAACACCUAAAUGUGCCCAAGUUUAGAUAUUUCUGCUGUUAGAACAUUCCCUCCUGUCUCAAGAGAGCGAUCUUUGUUUUGGGACAAAAGGAAAAGAAGCAAAAACAGUAAACUCUUUCUGGAAAAUACUGACUUAACGGAAGUCUCCUGUCUACUGUUUUCUUAUCUUAAAACAGUAAGGUAAUCACUUUUUCUUCCCUAUAUCCCAUAUUUACUUAACAGUCUUCAUCCAAAAGAGACAAGGCAGAAAAUAUUACUACUAUUUCUAAAUAGUUUCUUACUCAACUUGUUUAUGGAUCAUUAGGUCUCCAGCACUUUCCUCCUAAAGCAUUUUGUUAUUAAUGGUACAGUCUGUGGAGGAAGGAGCACAUUACUUCAAGUAAAUUUCCAUUCUGAGUUGCUGAACUUCUACCUUUCUGACUCGUAAGGAACUAAGUAUACCCUCAGGGAAAAGUAGACCCAAGAAAAACUACUUUAUUAGAGCUAUCUUCAAGAGAAUGGGAUCAGUAUGAAAACAGAAACCCUUAGAAAGUUUAAGAAAUAAAGAGAAGGCUCUCUAUGUGGUAUUUCUCGUACACUGGAGAUAUUUUCUGAUGAUGCAUCUAAACACUCCAACACAGCCUUCCUCAAAUAUUCUCUCACCACUUCUCCUUGACUUGCUGGCACGUCACGUUAAGGGGUCAAGGACACUGGGGGAAUAAAAUGUCUACUGAAACCACUGUACAAGUGUUUCCCUUUGCCCACUUCUUUAUGUUUUCUAAGAUCAUUUCCAAUGUGGAUAUGCCACAAGUUCAUCAGAAAAUCUUUUAUGGCAGGCUGUUAUGCCAAAGUCAAUAUUCCCAUCUGAUGCCUGUGGAUCCAGUUCUGACCCCAAUAACGCUACUUCCUGACACUUUAAUAAACCCCCUCGAAUUCAGUCCUUUUAUUUUUACUACCCCACUCCUUCGCUACCUUCCCUUGAACAGGUGCCCAAUAUGCAGUAUUAAAUUUGAGGACAGGAACUCCAUUUGACUACGAAAGUCUCAAUCAGAGAACUACUGAAUCUGUUUUGCACAAUUGAACCCAUCACACCCCACCCAAAAUCACCAACACAACAUUUUGAACAUGUUAGAUUUUAUUAAAAAUAUUUAACAUUUUACAAAUAUUUCAAUACAGUUAUGAUACCUGAACACUGUACCAAAAGCAUGAUUUUUAUUAAACUGCUGAUUAAAUGGUCUUGCAAAUGUUCCUACUUUAAUAUAUUCAUGUUACUGUAUGCAUAUCAGCAAUGUAAUGUUUGCAGGAGCUUUCAGUUCAAUUAUAGAAAUAGCCUUAUAACAUAGUACUAAACAUCAUAAUAGGAUUCAUUAAAGUACAAUUCUACCUAUAUUACUGAACAAGCUAGAGAAGUCCCUUUUGUCCAAGCAUCAUAAAGGAGAAAUCAAGAUUAGCAAUGUUCAUGGGAUCCUGACAAAGUUUCUAUAUAAAAUGAAAGCCCUUACUUAUAUUUGCGGAAUUUAAAAUUUCCGCCACAAUGCCUCCUCCUUUUCUGGUCCCAUGAAACGUACUUUGUUGUUAGUGUAUAAAAACCAACAAAUUUGCACUGCAUUUUCCUUAACUUAUAUGAAUUCCACAGAAUUGAGUGUUCCUAUUGCUUACUUUAAAACUUCCGAAGGAGCACAUUAUGAAGUGCAACCUUUAAAGUUCUAUACUUUGACUUUUCUAUCAAUGAUACAUGCAUAAAACAUGUCAGAGGAGAAACAAGUGCCUUAACACAAUAAUGCAAUCACUGCAAUUCUUAAGGUGUAACUUCAUUGUAUCGAUGUAUAGCUAGUCUACAGCAAGCUUACAGAUAAGGGUUUAUAGUCAUGACUCAGGCUAGCACAUGUUUAACAUCUAGGAGAUUCUUUCUAGACUGAUACACCCAACCAACAAAGAAGGCAUAAUACUGAGGAGGUUUUUCAGUCAUGAAAAUCCAUAAUUACUUUUAAUCACUGCUUAUGCUAUAUUACAAUUAUUUUUUAUAUGGUAUGGUCAGAAAUGCCUAGUUAUUAAAUUUAAUUUCCUCCAUUUAUACUUUACGAUCAUGGAAUCUCUGAGUAUGAAAGAUUUUAAUCUUUAGCAAUCAUGUAAAAACUGACUCUGAAUUCUACCCAUAUCUACUAAUUCCAUCAGCUGCCCUGGGUUUCAGAUAAAACACAAGUUGUUGAUAGAUUCGUGUUUCUGCUAUGUUCAAGAUUCUAAUAUUCUAGCUAGGUAAUUUCCUUUUGACUCAGAGUCAUUAUUAUUAAAUGUAUCUUUAAAUUGAGUCCACUAUUGUUUAUCAAAUUGCUAAAACUUUUAAGUUUCAUUUUACAAUGUUAAGAUGUCUUUUGGAGGAUUUUAAAAAACAAUUUCUCCCUCUAUUCUAUCAACACUUUCCUAUUUUUACUAAUAUUAGUGUGCAAUAAACAUCUCUUAAGAUGCAUUAUAUGCUAAUCUAGCCAAUAAAAAUGAAAUAUGAUGUUAAUACAAUGAGGAUAUUAGGGGGAUUUAAAUCAUAGUAAAAUAAAGCAAAUUUAUUGUCUCUCCAAGAGACUUUAUUUAGAAUCUAUUCUGAUCACUUAAAAUAUACCCUGAGUAUUUCAUUACUUCAUACUUGCAGGCCCUUCCUGCUAAUCUACCAAUCUGAGAAUAAAGAGUAUGAAGUACUUAUUACAUGUCCCUAUGAAGAACAGAAUUACUUAAGGUCUUAUUUUACAAGACUGACAUAAAUGCCCGCUUAUGGUACAUGGGCAUUCUCCCACACUUAAAAUACCCCACUACAGAUAAAAAAAAAAAAAAUAGGAAAAAAAAAGUUCUUACCAACAAUUCCACUGGUUAUCGUCCCCAGCGAACCCCACCUAGCAAGUCGACAUCAUGACAUGUCAGGUCAGGGCAGCCUCAACCUCGCUUCCCUGAUAGUCAGGUGAUAAAAGGAAGGAGUUAAAACAGGAAAAGUACACUUGCAGAUUUCUGGAUAACAUCUGAAAAUGAUUAAAAAGUAAAAACAAAACAAAAAACCCAGAGCUUCUGGUAACCUCUAAAUAAAAAAUAUAUAUGUAUAUACAUAUAUAAAAAGAAAAAAAAUUCUCUAGAAAGAUUAACAGUAACUACUUCAAAUUAAAUAUUUGUAUUUAAAUUACUGACCAAUACAUUAAAUAUACAUUUUUAAAGCUUAGUGUUUGUAUUUUAAAAAUAAGAAUAAUCAACAAACUUCUAAUGCACAAGUAAACAUGCCUGGUUAACGGAUUUGUCAUUCUGGAUUCUCUAGUCAGUCACCCAAUCCACCCGGUUACUCAGAACUAAGUUAACAGAAGCUCCCAUUCUUAGAGAAACAUAAACACACUUAUAAAUCCAGUGCACUCUUUCUAUAAGGCUUUUUCUUAGCUGCUCACUUAAGAGACUCCAGAUAAUAAAGGGCAACACUAACAUUAACAUUUCUUCUACAUACUUCAGUUGGUUUUCUUUAACAGUAUCAGAUAACUCAGUAUAAUAAAAUUCUCUUUGGAAAAUCAGAACAGGAAAUUUUAACAUAUUUAGAAGUCUUUAUAAAUGGCAAGUUAACAGCCUUAUAGCAAGUAUCACUGGAAGGGUUUGGUUUUACAAAUAAUACACAAUUAAUAAAACGUAGGUAUGAUUAUCCAAAUGGGCAGGAGGCAAAUGAUGUAAUGAGAUUCAAGAAUAUUAUAUGGCUUUAUGCUAGAAAUGGAAUUUUAUGUCCCUUGUAUUUUGGAACUUAAAAUAUAUAAUUUAUUUUGAUGCAUGCUAACCUUUUCAAAAAGAGGGUUCACCUCCUAAGUCAGAUUUCAAAAUCAAAUGAGAGAAAAAUUACCUACUAACAGAAAGCAUUGGGCUUUCUCAUGCAGAAUAACCCCAGUAACUAAAGAAAACUAAAAAACAAAUAUGCUGAACUCUUUUUGUUUAAAAAAACUACAGAACCAUAGUAACUCAACUUCCAUAUCAAUUGACCAAAUAAACAUGGAUUUAUUAGAAAUCUGGCAACUUAUUAAAACUUUUUUGCUUUUAAAAAAUUAAAACUGUCAUUUAAAUACAUACAUUUAAGCAACUGCUAUAAAUGAGUGAUCAAAUAAAAAUUAGCAUUCUUUAUUUUGGGGAAGGGGUAUAUUUGUGUCAAUCUCAGGAGGGUAUCUAUAAAAGAGAUCUACCUCAAUAAAAAGUAAAUAUAUUUCCCAACAGACAUUACUGUACCAGGCUCAUAAGUAAAACCAAACGAACUAGGUUCGGGAAGAAAAACGAUGGCAGAACAGGAAAUAAAAUUUCCCAGAACUCAUAAUUUGUGCCUAUUUAAAAAAAAAACACCUAAGCAAAUUUAGAAUAAAGACCUCCCUCAAUUGACAUUUUUCAGGUUUACAUAUUAGAUUUCUUUCUGUGAAAAGUUAAGCUCUGAAUCUAUUUUCUCUGAAUGCUGCCACAGUAAAAGUUUCAAGACAUCAAGAAGAGAAAAGCUCUCAAGUGAUAUUUAAUGUUUCCAAAGUUGUUUUUCUGUUAAAUAAAAUAGCCAGAAAAAAACCUAUCAAGUAAUAUUAGAGGAGUAUUUCCAUAGAUAUGUUUUUAAUUGGUGAGAGUAAAAUAGAAUUUGCAAUUAAAGGAAAGGAUUUUGACAGGGAACCCAUGUUUUGUUCUUAUGCUUUCACUAGGGUUUCUAUUUUAGGAUGGGUGGGGGAAGCAGAAUAAAUUACUUCUUCAGUAUCACUUCUAGUCCCGUUCCUAAUUUUCUUCAUGAGAACUUUGUAGCUGGUACCACCUAAUUUUUAAGAAAUACAAACAACUCAAAUUUUAUUUGUAGACCCUUUCUUUCUUCCAAGAAAAAUCAGGGUUUUAUUUAAGUCUAAUUUGUAGUUAUAGCUUCAAAUUGUAUUUUCAAAGUUUAAAAGCAUCAUUUAAAGAACGUUUGGUGUCUUUACUUGCAUACAUGGGCGUAAGAACAACUGGAUCUAAGCUUCACCAAAUAGAUACCCAUGUGAACUUGAAACUACUAUAAAACAAACUAUAUGAUUCCUCUAUCAGUUUCCAAAAACAUCAUAGGAAUACUAAAAAGGCCUGUUAACUUACUGUCCUAUGUAAUGAGUAUACUUUUAACAAGAAAUGAGAUAUAGACUUUCAUAGGCAAAUAUUAAUUUUCUUACUCAAGAUCAAAAGAGAAGCCAUGAAACCCAAAAUAUGAUCUAACCAAGCUCACAAGGAAUCAAGUGGCUUAUAAUUUUGAAAUCUAAUAUUGCUGUCAUAAAAGACACCAAACAGGAACAAAACGCAAAAUAGGUGUGUCCAUUUUAAUUAUUCCCAAUGGCUAAUUUUUAUAAUUUAAAAACAGUUUAGACCCACCUAAGAAUAAAACGGAAGGGAAAAUUUUAUGGUAAUUUGAGAGUGAUCCAGACUUAUCUACACUGUAAAGUUUGGAUUCUUUUGUUCCUCUUAUUCUCAAGCAAAAAAAGUCAUUACAAUAAAUCAGAAUUUCUAAAGGAAACAGGGAAAUAGAGGUAAGACUUGGCCAACAAAAACUUUAGCCAUUAGGGAGAGUAAAAAACAAUAAAAAUAACAGGUAUUUAACAGAAAAGUGAGAAGUACGACUACUGGACAUUCUUAAGCCUCUUUUAUAAGGCAUGAGUGUUUCUCAAAGCAAAUUUACAUAGCAAUAGGAAACUAUAUUCCUAAACCAAUAACUAAAGUGGUAGUCAUGAUCACAUAUACUAAACUGAGUUUAGUCCGCAGUGCAAUUGACGCCACAGUACUAACAUUACUUUCUGUUAUAUACAUUCAAUGAUCCACCAAAUAAGGUCUUCAGACAACAAAUUAUCCUCUAUAGAAAGAAUGUGGGUCAAAAUAAAUUGCAGUCUGCUUUCUCAAUCCCGUUUUAUUUAAUGCAAAUUAUCCAAUGCCUGCAAGAAUGUUCAAAAGCCUUUGAACCUGUUUUUAAUAAAAAUAA
rnacentral:lncRNA from 1 species